UCGGGACUUGAGACCGGCGCACGGGUGCGUAACGCGUAUGCAAUCUACCUUAUACAGGGGAAUAGCCCAGAGAAAUUUGGAUUAAUGCCCCAUAGUGUUAUAGAAUCGCAUGGUUUUAUAACUAAAGUUCCAACGGUAUAAGAUGAGCAUGCGUCCCAUUAGUUAGUUGGUAAGGUAACGGCUUACCAAGACAAUGAUGGGUAGGGGUCCUGAGAGGGAGAUCCCCCACACUGGUACUGAGACACGGACCAGACUCCUACGGGAGGCAGCAGUGAGGAAUAUUGGUCAAUGGGCGCAAGCCUGAACCAGCCAUGCCGCGUGCAGGAAGACGGUCCUAUGGAUUGUAAACUGCUUUUAUACAGGAAGAAACCUCCCUACGUGUAGGGACUUGACGGUACUGUAGGAAUAAGGAUCGGCUAACUCCGUGCCAGCAGCCGCGGUAAUACGGAGGAUCCAAGCGUUAUCCGGAAUCAUUGGGUUUAAAGGGUCCGUAGGCGGCCUUAUAAGUCAGUGGUGAAAUCUCCUAGCUCAACUAGGAAACUGCCAUUGAUACUGUAGGGCUUGAAUUUUUGUGAAGUAACUAGAAUAUGUAGUGUAGCGGUGAAAUGCUUAGAUAUUACAUGGAAUACCAAUUGCGAAGGCAGGUUACUAACAAACGAUUGACGCUGAUGGACGAAAGCGUGGGGAGCGAACAGGAUUAGAUACCCUGGUAGUCCACGCCGU
rnacentral:rRNA from 1 species